GUGCUCNCUUUGGCAGCACAUAUACUAAAAUUGGAAUGAUACAGAGAAGAUUAGUAUGGCCCCUGCACAAGGAUGACACACAAAUUUGUGAAGCGUUCCAUAUUUUA
rnacentral:snRNA from 1 species